GGGGGUCAGGCCACUGUAUAGGCGCUGGCGUGAUUCGUAGCUCUCGUGCUAGGGCGUCCAUGUCGGCCUUCUCCUUGAUCACGUAUGGGCCCUUUGGUGUCUGGAUUUGGAGCCCAUUCGGGAAACACCAGCGAUAUCUAAUUUUGUUUGAUUGUAGUUGCAUGGUGAAGGGGCGUAGGGCCCUGCGGUACGCCAGUGUUGUAGGUGAUAGAUCUGGGUACAGUUGUAAUUCUGUGCCUUCCAAGGUGACUUUUCCCAGGUCUCUUGCCUUCCUCAAGAUCUCUUCCUUCUGUUGAAAGCUUGCUAUACAGCAAAUGAUAUCCCGGGGUGGGCUCCCAGGGGGCCCUUUCGGCCGAAGUGCACGAUGAGCCCUCACCAGGUUGAUUUGAGCUUGUGGGGGACGCCCUAAAAGGCCGUUAAAUAUCCCCGUCAGGGUCUGUUGUACAGGGGUGGCAUCAUCAACUUCUUCUGGAACCCCGCGGACCCUAAUGUUCUGCCGUCUGCCCCGAUUAUCGAGGUCCUCCAGGUGAUACGCCAUUUGCCGGAGUUGUUGCGUGGUAUGUUGCAGGGUUUCAGUAGUCGCGGACUGCGCCGAUGACACGUGGUCGCAGUCCGCUUCUAGUUGAGAUACCCUCUGGCGUAGGCCGCAAAAUUCCUCCCUCAUGGCCUGGAGUUCCGUCGUGAUUGAGGUUCUCAGGUCGUUGUUCGCCCUCUGCAGAUCGGUUUUAGUGGGCAGGUUGCGGAGCAUUUCCACCCACUCGGGGUGCGGCGCUGGAGUGUUUGCUGCCGGUAUCUCUGCAGGGCUCUCUCCAUCAAGCGGGGAGGGAGAGAACAGCCCCUCUGAGGCCGCCGAGUCAUUGGAGGCCUGCGUGUCCGGGUCCGCCGGAGUGAUCAAAUAUUGCCGCAGGGUAGGGUGACUGUUCCCCCUGGGGGUGUCAGCGGGUUUGGAGGCUUGCGACGCUCUAUGUGUUUUGCCCAUGAUCGGGGCAAUAUGGUGCUUACGGCGGGGUUUGUGUGGAGCCUGGUAGGGAGCUCAGGAUUUACGCCGCCAUCUUCUUCGGCUUCCAGGCCACGCCCCUG